UACAGAGGGCUCAAGCGUUGUUCGGAUUCAUUGGGCGUAAAGCGUGCGCAGGCGGCUUUGCAAGACAGAUGUGAAAUCCCCGGGCUUAACCUGGGAACUGCAUUUGAGACUGCAUGGCUGGAGUGCGGCAGAGGGGGAUGGAAUUCCGCGUGUAGCAGUGAAAUGCGUAGAUAUGCGGAGGAACACCGAUGGCGAAGGCAAUCCCCUGGGCCUGCACUGACGCUCAUGCACGAAAGCGUGGGGAGCAAACAGG
rnacentral:rRNA from 1 species